rnacentral:rRNA from 1 species
CCUACGGGUGGCAGCAGUGGGGAAUAUUGGGCAAUGGGCGCAAGCCUGACCCAGCAACGCCGCGUGAAGGAAGAAGGCUUUCGGGUUGUAAACUUCUUUUAUCAGGGACGAAGCAAGUGACGGUACCUGAUGAAUAAGCCACGGCUAACUACGUGCCAGCAGCCGCGGUAAUACGUAGGUGGCAAGCGUUAUCCGGAUUUACUGGGUGUAAAGGGCGUGUAGGCGGGAAAGCAAGUCAGAUGUGAAAACCAUGGGCUCAACCUGUUGACUGCAUUUGAAACUGUUUUUCUUGAGUACUGGAGAGGCAGACGGAAUUCCUAGUGUAGCGGUGAAAUGCGUAGAUAUUAGGAGGAACACCAGUGGCGAAGGCGGUCUGCUGGACAGCAACUGACGCUGAGGCGCGAAAGCGUGGGGAGCAAACAGGAUGAGAUACCCGAGUAGUC